CCUACGGGGGGCAGCAGUGAGGAAUAUUGGUCAAUGGGCUUACGCCUGAACCAGCCAAGUCGCGUGAGGGAAGACUGCCCUAUGGGUUGUAAACCUCUUUUGUCAGGGAGCAACGCCGGCUACGUGUAGCCGGACUGAGAGUACCUGAAGACAAAGCCUCGGCUAACUCCGUGCCAGCAGCCGCGGUAAUACGGAGGAUGCGAGCGUUAUCCGGAUUUAUUGGGUUUAAAGGGUGCGUAGGCGGAAUGCCAAGUCAGCGGUAAAAUCGCGGGGCUCAACCUCGCUCCGCCGUUGAAACUGGCGGUCUUGAGUGGGCGAGAAGUAUGCGGAAUGCGUGGUGUAGCGGUGAAAUGCAUAGAUAUCACGCAGAACUCCGAUUGCGAAGGCAGCAUACCGGCGGCGAUCUGACGCUGAGGCACGAAAGCGUGGGUAUCGAACAGGAUUAGAUACCCUUGUAGUC
rnacentral:rRNA from 1 species